UGCUUGCUUCCACAGCAAUAUACUAAAAUUGGAAUUAUACAAAGAAGAUAAGCAUGGCCCCGUGCUAAAUGGCAUGCAAAUUUGUGAAAGCACUCCAUAUUUU
rnacentral:snRNA from 1 species